ACGGCUCAGUAACACGUGGCUAAUCUGCCCUUGGGACCGGAACACCCCCGGGAAACUGGGGCUAAUUCUCGAUAGGUGAAGAACUCUGGAAUGAGUCUUUGCCAAAAAGUUGUUAAGGUUAUGCUCUUUGACGACGCCCAAGGAUGAGGCCGCGACCGAUCAGGUUGUUGGUGAGGUAAUGGCUCACCAAGCCUUUUACCGGUGCGGGCCGUGAGAGCGGGAGCCCGGAGAUGGGCACUGAGACAAGGGCCCAGGCCCUACGGGGCGCAGCAGUCGCGAAAACUUUGCAAUAAGCGAAAGCUUGACAGGGCUAUCCCGAGUGCCAUCCGCUGAGGAAGGCUUUUACCCAGUCUAGAACGCUGGGGGAAUAAGGAGAGGGCAAGUCUGGUGUCAGCCGCCGCGGUAAUACCAGCUCUCCGAGUGGUGUGGAUGUUUAUUGGGCCUAAAGCAUCCGUAGCUGGCUAAGUUAGUCCCUUGUUAAAUCCACCGAAUUAAUCGUUGGAUUGCGGGGGAUACUGCUUGGCUAGGGGACGAGAGAGGCAGACGGUAUUUCCGGGGUAGGGGUGAAAUCCUAUAAUCCCGGGAAGACCACCAGUGGCGAAGGCUGUCUGCUAGAACGCGCCCGACGGUGAGGGAUGAAAGCUGGGGGAGCGAACCGGAUUAGAUACCCGGGUAGUCCCAGCUGUAAACGAUGCAGGCUAGGUGUUUGGACGGCCACGUGCCGUUCUAGUGCCGCAGGGAAGCUGUUAAGCCUGCCGCCUGGGGAGUACGAUCGCAAGAUUGAAACUUGAAGGAAUUGGCGGGGGAGCAC
rnacentral:rRNA from 1 species